AGGCAACUGGAAGAAGUUCCUAUAGUAAUAUUCAAACAGAUGAUAAAGGAAUUUCUAGUUCGUUUCAAGAUUCCCUAGGAAGAGAUCAAGAAGACAAGGCAUUUUACUCUAGAAAUGGGGACAAGACGGCUUCUACCAGUGAAAGUACCUACAAAAAAAUUGUCCAGUCAGCUGUGCCAAGUAAUCUCAAACGGCAGAAGUCUAAGAAGCACGAAGGAGAUAAAGAGGUUUCAAGAAAAACGAAAGCAAAACCAUGGGGGUGGGUGAUGUGCUUUUCUGAUGAUGACAUAUUGCCAUCAAAUAAACCUGGAUGCGAUACUGCAGGCCGUAUGAGAUAUUCCCACCUUGGCAAUAAGAAGUUUAUUCACGAGAAGAAGACAAAACCUCAGAAUGAUGAGGAACGAUGUUGCAAGACUCCAGAAAUGGUUAAAGUAGGAGCUUCUUUUGCAGAGGCGGGGAGGGAGGAUGAUCAAUUGCAUGCCUCGACUACAGAGUUGAAUGUAUC
rnacentral:lncRNA from 1 species